UUGAUUUGGGAAUAAAUACUCAUUUUAUAGUACUUUUUUUUUUUUGGGUAAUAGUAUAUUAGCUCUCAGUUGGUUGUUGUUUUGGUAAAUUUCUCUUUGCUUUUUUGGAUUUUCGUUGUUGGUUGAGCUGGGUGAAUGAUUGCUAAUAUUUGUCCUCACAAGUUUUUUCUUUGCAUGUUUUGGGUUACAGUAGAUUUUCUUUCAGUUGGGCUUGUUAUGAAAAGCUUUUUCUUCUUCAAUUAUGUUUGAUUUUAUUUAUUUAUUUAUUAAGUGUACCUUUCUUGCCUCGAGUGAAUCUGUAUGCUUAUUUUCAUAUUUCUAUUUUAUUUUUUUUUAACUUUUGAGGUAGAGUAUAUCGGCCAUUCAGCUGGGCGCAUUACGUAUGUACAUGCAUGUGCUGUUAGAGAUUAGAUUUAAAAAGAAAUUGACUUAUUUUUGUAAGCACAAAACAAUUAUCGCAGAACUCUGUGGUAUUUUGAUAGUCACUCUUUCAAAUGCAGAUUUCAAAGUCUUCUUCGUAAAAGGCUUCUUACUUGUGCUUGUGUUUCUUAGUUGAAAAGUGAAAACACUUUUUUUUUUUUUUUUUUUUUUAGGAAGGUCAGUAGGUUUUGGUCCCCACUGACUAUUUUAUUAGAGAAUUAAUAGCAAUGUCUUUACAAAAGAAACUAAAGUGGAAAUAAUUAAAAAUGAAAGCAUAGCAAUCGUAUCAUCUUCAUCUGAACCUCUGUUGUUCAAGAUGAUUUCGCCUUUUCCUUCUCAUCUGCAGUUGAAGAUCAACUCUUUCUUUUGCUUCUUCUUUGUGAGCUGAAAUUUGUUAUUUUCUGUGAAUUAUGUUGCAAAUGCUACUUGUUUGUUUCCUUCUGUUGAUGUCCAAAUCCUAUGAACUUUGAGAAUUUAGCCACUUUUUACUCCUGUAGACCCUUCAGCUUAUCUUCCUUGUUGACUGCCAAUUCAUCUUCUUGAAGCUCCAAAUCUGGUGCUAGCAGCCCUCAUUGAUGAAGAUAUCUUAAGAUUUCAGCUUGAUAAGCUCUAAUUUACUCAGGAUAUGGUUGCUGAUCCUCAUUUGCUACAAUUUUAUCCUCUGGAUGCCCCGACUCUGAUAGGGCUGCAAAUUGGUUGCUUGUUUGCAAAGUAUUCCCUGGAGCUUCUACUUUCUUUCCCUUGCUACUGCUACCAGAUGCAUCAUCUUUGGAAUAAGUUUGUCAAGUUGCUCCAUCUCUGGCCAUCCAUAAGAGAAUUUACCCACAACAGCAUGUUGUAGUUUCUCAAUGGUAUUCAUUCUUUCGACCUCCUCCUCAGUCCAUUUAAGAUAUGGCUCCCCAUGAAGAAAAGAUAUUUGCUUAAUCUCAAUUGGUGGAACAGGAUGUGAAACUGUAGGCUUCAAGAGAUUUGCAUAUUGUAAUUUGUUCUCAUUUGGUUGUGUUAUCACUCCUUCCUUAGGUGUUGCAAAAGUUAAUUGCUGGCCAGCCCCACCGGAGGACUGGCCACUGGCCGCAAAAGCCAUAAGCAACUAUCUUGAAAUAAGGUUAUGCAUGAAAAUAGGAGGUGAGAGGCUCAACUAAUGAAAUUUUCUCUCAGGCAAAUCAUCAAACAGGUUGCAGGCAGAACUUUAAAUCUCCAUCAGAAUCAGAAUCUGAAGAAUGUAAGCAUGGAUUUGACCGACGUGUGGGUCUAGAGUUGUUUUACUAUAUGUGAUGUUCUUUGGAAUCAAUGCUUAUU